rnacentral:rRNA from 1 species
UGUAGUCUGCAACUCGACUACAUGAAGCUGGAAUCGCUAGUAAUCGCGAAUCAGCAUGUCGCGGUGAAUACGUUCCCGGGUCUUGUACACACCGCCCGUCACACCAUGGGAGUCGGAAACGCCCGAAGCCAGUGACCCAACCUGAAAAACGGAGGGAGCUGUCGAAGGUGGGGCCGGUAACUGGGGUGAAGUCGUAACAAGGUAGC